UGUUUUAGGUGACAAUUAUGGCAAUUUCCUAACAAAUAAGCUUAAGAAGAAAGCGUGGAUCAGCGUGGAGCAACAAUUUGCCAUUAAAACUGGUGUUAAACGCUCUUAUAACACACUGCGAGUUAAAUACAGAAAUAAAACUAAUCAAAAAGAAUGCGAUAAAUAAUUCGUCAUCGACCAGGGCGCCGUCUAUAGUCAGGCCGACCAUCUUGUGAUGAAGCUGAAUGCAACGGUAAAUCUGCAUUGAAUGGCAUUUUGCAUACAAUUAAUGCGCAAUUUUCUUUUCAUUGUGUUGGUAGAAAGUAUUUCACUAAAUUCUAUAAAAGUUGAAGCAUUUCAUAUGUUCGAACUUGAAGAGUCUUGUCUACAAAUCAAUGCAAAUGUGUCGAAGUCACAAGUGGCUUCUGAAUCACAGAAACAAAACCCGCAAAAAGUGUUUAAUAAAACAACAAGAAUUAGAACAUUGGCCAAGGAGACAAAUGAGUUGUUAAAGAUGCAACAAAAGUUUUAUCGGAAUGAAAAUAUUCGUGCGUUAGAAAUAGUGAACGUGAGGCGAGAGCUAUUCGAGCUGAAAAAAGAGCUACUCGAUGUGAAAAGUAAAUUGGGUACCGAAGCAGAUAUUAAAAUAGAGGAGUAUGAUUGAUAGCACACAGAAACUCAAAGUGCACAAUUUGGGAAAUUAUUUCUGCGAUCAGCUUAUCGCCUUUCGAGCAAAUCUAUUUUGUGCUGGCAUCAAACUGUCUAGUGCGCUACUUGAAAUGUAAAUAUAUGGAGUACUACUAACCUGGCGUAUAGUCUGGACGCAGCUCGUGAUGCUUAAUGCCAAAACUGAAUUCUGGUGUCUUGCUCAGCUUUACCUUUUCAGGACAAUAUGCGCCCGGAGCUGUUGAAUAGAUGAAGCCGUCAUCAAUUAUUCAUACACAAAGGAUGAUGGAUGGAUAUUACUUUUUGAUUUGGAUUCAAUGAGGGUUCGAUCUACCGCGUAAAUCUUUUCGUUGCGUUAUUGUUAGCUUGGU